rnacentral:rRNA from 1 species
GACGAACGCUGGCGGCGUGCUUAACACAUGCAAGUCGAACGGAAAGGCCCUGCUUUUGUGGGGUGCUCGAGUGGCGAACGGGUGAGUAACACGUGAGUAACCUGCCCUUGACUUUGGGAUAACUUCAGGAAACUGGGGCUAAUACCGGAUAGGAGCUCCUGCUGCAUGGUGGGGGUUGGAAAGUUUCGGCGGUUGGGGAUGGACUCGCGGCUUAUCAGCUUGUUGGUGGGGUAGUGGCUUACCAAGGCUUUGACGGGUAGCCGGCCUGAGAGGGUGACCGGCCACAUUGGGACUGAGCUACGGCCCAGCCUCCUACGGGCGGCAGCAGUGGGGAAUAUUGCACAAUGGGCGGAAGCCUGAUGCAGCAACGCCGCGUGCGGGAUGACGGCCUUCGGGUUGUAAACCGCUUUCGCCUGUGACGAAGCGUGAGUGACGGUAAUGGGUAAAGAAGCACCGGCUAACUACGUG